GAUGAACGCUGGCGGCGUGCCUAAUACAUGCAAGUCGAGCGAACGGACGAGAAGCUUGCUCCUCUGAUUUUAGCGGCGGACGGGAGAGUAACACGUGGAUAACCUACCUAUCAGACUGGGAUAACUUCGGGAAACCGUAGCUACUACCGGAUAAUAUUUUGAACCGCAUGGUUCAAACGUGAAAGACGGUCUUUCUGUCACUUAUAGAUGGCUACGCGCUGCAUUAACUAGUUGGUAAGGUAACGGCUUAGCCAGGCAACGAUGCAUAGCCGACCUGAGAGGGUGAUCGGCCACACGGGAAGUGAGACUCGGUCCAGACACCGGCGGGAGGAAGCAGCAGGGAAUCUUCCGCGAGGGGCGAGAGCCUGACGGAGGAACGCGGGGGGAGGGAUGAAGGUCUUCGGAUCGUAAAGCGCUGUUAGUAGGAAAGAAGAUAAGUGUAAGUAACUGGGAAGAUAUUGACGGUACCGAAACAGAAAGCUCCGGCUAACUACGUG
rnacentral:rRNA from 1 species